rnacentral:rRNA from 1 species
AAGAGCUCAAAAUGUGAAUCUGCACAACCCGCCUCUAGCGAGUGCGGGCGUGCCGAAUUGUGGUCUAUAGAGGUGUUCUCGGUGCCGGUCUCGGGUCAAGUCCCUUGGAAAAGGGCAGCUGAGAGGGUGAGACUCCCGUUCUUGCCUGAGACCUGUGUGCCUGAGCAGGCACCCUCAAAGAGUCGAGUAUUUUGGGAUUGAUGCUCAAAGUGGGAGGUAAAUUCCUUCUAAAGCUAAAUAUUGGUGGGAGACCGAUAGCGCACAAGUACCGUGAGGGAAAGAUGCAAAGAACUUUGAAAAGAGAGUUAAAGAGUACCUGAAAUUGCUGAAAGGGAAGCGAAGGAAACCAGUGUCAACGGCCGGUCAUAUUUCCUCUGUCGCUUGCAGCAGGGGCGCUGUGUCCGGCCACCGGCCAGCAUAGGUUUCACUCGGGGCAAAUGGUCGUUCGGGAGGUGGCCCCCUUGCGGGGUGUUAUAACCGGAUGGCCCUGUCCUGGGUGGGAUCGAGGAUAGUCGCUCACGCGCUCGUGAUGCUGGCA